AUGCCAGCUCAAGCCAAACGAGCCCUGUUUGCUGCUCAGCCCACUGCCAUGAGCUGGACAUGGGGGCUCUGUGAUCACAUCACAGGAGGUCGGCAAUGUCCACUGGGUAGAGGGAUGCCAACAGGCUGGCCUCUGUGGCCUGGGCUUCUGGAAAAUAUCCUGAAACCCAGCUCUUCCUGCAGGUCCCCUUGGCAGAACUCUGGGAAGCAGGAAGGCUCAGGCCUUGUUUUGAUCCUGAGCUGCCUGUCUGGGGGGACUGAUGAGAUGGCCUCCAGGAAUCUGCCUGCAGCACUGAGGCAAGCUGACAAACUCAGCUUGGCGAUAAGCCUAGAGUCAUCAGCAAGGAGUAGGAUCUGUCUGAGGAUUUUUCUCCUGGUCCAAGUCCAUCGUGGACUCAUGUUUGGGAGAGAGCUAUAUUGGGUAAGCAUGGAAAGGUCUGUUCUAAUCAAACCUUUGCAAAUCACUGGAACACAAGCCUCCCUGCAGCGGCACAGUGGGGGCGAGGCAGUCCCCACCGAGACAGACUGACUAUGGACAGCCUGUAGUUCCCAGCACAUCUGUGGUGGAGAAGGCAUUGCCUGGUGGAGGGUGGCUUACAGGUGGCCCUGAGAUUCUCCUGUAACUUGCUGAAGGAGGAGAUGAAGCAGUAGCUAGAUAGGACUUGCUGAUAAAAAUACAUGAGCUUUCUGGAACCAGUUAAGGAGGUGCUGAAAGCAGCUAGAACUUUGGAAUUAUCAGGUGGAGGGGGAACAAUGAAUCAGUGAAACACUGGCAUCAGUAAUGAUGUGACUCCACUUUAAAUCUGGAGCUGGUGUGGCUGGGCCAACUCAAGUUACAUUAUUUUCAUCAAAGGAUGGCUCCCGCAAGUGUGGUACAUACAUACAAUGGAAUAGUAUUCAACUAUAAAAAAGAAGGAAAUCUUGCAAUUUGCAAGAGCAUGGAUGGACGCUGAGGUUAUUAUGCUAAGUGAAAUAAGUCCAACAGAGAAAGACGAAUAUCAUAUGAUCUCACUUAUAUGUGGAACCUGAAAAAAAAAAAGCCCUAAAAGAAAAAUGAACUUGUAGAUAUGGAGAACAGAUUGGUGGUUGGCAGAAGUGGAGGUUGGGAGAUGAGAGAAAUGGGUAAAGAGGGUCAAAAGGUACAAACUCCCUGUUAUAAAAUAAGUCCUGGAGAUAUAAUGUGCAGCAUGGUGACUAUAGUUAAGAAUACUGAAUUGUAUAUUUGAAAAUCAUUAAGAGAGUAGAUCUUAAGGGUUCUCUUCACAAGAAAAAAUAUUGUAACUAUGUGAGGGGAUCGAUGUUAACUAGACUCACGUGAUCAUUUCACAAUAUAUACAAAUAUCAAAUAUUAUGUUAUAUAUCUGAAACUAAUAUAAUGUUAUAGAUCAAUUAUAUCUCCAUAAAAAUUAUGUAAGUAUUUUAAAGGUAAAAACAGAAAACAAAAAACAAAAAACCAUAGCUCCCUCAACCACAUCUGAUUGUUUUUUGCAGGGGUGUGUCCUCCCUGACUCCCAUCUCGCAAAUGAUUUGCCUUCCCCCUUGGAGGUCGAUGCCCUUCAGGAGAAAUGGUUUGCUAUCUUUGUUUUUUUGUUUUUACAAAAAACAAGUUUGAUUGUCAACAUACAGUAUAACAUAUAGUAUAACACCCAGUGCUCAUCCCAUCAAGUGUCCCCCUCGGUGCCCGUCACCCAGUUACCCCAACCCCCCGUCCACCUUCCCUUCUGCAACCCUUCAUUCGUUUCCCAGAGUUAAGAGUCUUUCAUGGCUUGUCUCCCCCUCUAAUUUUUCCCACUCAGGGUUUGCCGUCUUUGAUUCAGACUCAACCUCUCUGUUCUUUUCCUGCUUGCAUCUCACACCCCUCCUUAUGGAAAGAUUGUCUUCUGGUUUCUGAAUCAUUAAUUUUGGUUGUGUGGCUCUUGCCUGGCAGAGCUUUUUCUGCUCUGAAAAACUCUGAUUAUAAAUAGUUCAAUAAUACAUGUCCUCCCGAGUUUAAGAUUCUGGCUUAUGUAAUUGGAAAUCUGGAUGUGAAGCAAGUUAAAGUUGAUGCCAUAAAGACAGUAAAAUAAUUAAUCACAUUGCUCUGUUUAAUAGAUUCAAGGGCACAGGAACAGCUUUGCAGCCAGGGUGAGUCCU
rnacentral:lncRNA from 1 species